rfam:Zea mays cultivar B73 chromosome 2, whole genome shotgun sequence.
GGCCUAUUAACUUAGUUGGUUAGAGCAUCGUGCUAAUAACGCGUAGGUCGCACGUUCGAGACCUGCAUGGGCCA